UUUUCCUACGGGAGGCAGCAGUGAGGAAUAUUGGUCAAUGGGCGAGAGCCUGAACCAGCCAAGUCGCGUGAGGGAGUACUGCCCUAUGGGUUGUAAACCUCUUUUGUCGGGGAGCAAAGAGAGUCACGUGUGGCUCAUUGAGAGUACCCGAAGAAAAAGCAUCGGCUAACUCCGCGCCAGCAGCCGCGGUAAUACGGAGGAUGCGAGCGUUAUCCGGAUUUAUUGGGUUUAAAGGGUGCGCAGGCGGAGGUGCAAGUCAGUGGUCAAAUUGCGGGGCUCAACCCCGUAUUGCCGUUGAAACUGCA
rnacentral:rRNA from 1 species